GGUCAAGCUACAAAGGGCGCAUGGUGAAUGCCUUGGCAUCAGGAGCCGAUGAAGGACGUGAUAAGCUGCGAUAAGCUUCGGGUAGGCGCACAUAGCCAGUAUCCAUAGGUGAAUACAUAGCUUAUGGAAGGUAAACCCAGGGAACUGAAACAUCUAAGUACCUGGAGGAAGAGAAAGAAAAAUCGAUUUUCUUAGUAGCGGCGAGCGAAAGGGAAAGAGCCCAAACCGGAAAUUUAUUUCCGGGGUUGCGGACAGAACAUUAACGAGAAGUUAUGGAUAAUUGAAGAUGACUGGAAAGUCAAGCCAUAGAGUGUAAUAGCCACGUAAGUGAAAUUCAUAAUAAUCAAGUUCUGAUCCAGAGUACCACGAGACACGUGAAACCUUGUGGGAAGCAGGGAGGACCACCUCCCAAGGCUAAAUACUACCUGAUGACCGAUAGUGAAGCAGUACCGUGAAUACUACCUGAUGACCGAUAGUGAAGCAGUACCGUGAGGGAAAGGUGAAAAGAACCCCGGGAGGGGAGUGAAAUAGAACCUGAAACCGUGUGCCUACAACCGGUCAAAGCCCCUUAUGAGGGUGAUGACGUGCUUUUUGUAGAACGAGCCAACGAGUUACGGUAUGUAGCAAGGUUAAGUACUUAAGGUACGGAGCCGAAGGGAAACCGAGUCUUAAUAGGGCGACUAGUUGCAUGCCGUAGACCCGAAACCGGGUGACCUAUCCAUGGCCAGGUUGAAGCGGGGGUAAAACCCCGUGGAGGACCGAACCACGUUGCUGUUGAAAAAGCAUGGGAUGAGCUGUGGAUAGCGGAGAAAUUCCAAUCGAACUCGGAGAUAGCUGGUUCUCCUCGAAAUAGCUUUAGGGCUAGCGUCGGAUAUGAGUAGUGGAGGUAGAGCACUGAAUGGGCUAGGGGGCAUAGCGCUUACCGAACCUUAUCAAACUCCGAAUGCCACAUACUAUUAGUCCGGCAGUCAGACUGCGAAAGAUAAGUUCCGUAGUCAAAAGGGAAACAGCCCAGAUCGUCAGCUAAGGUCCCAAAGUGUAAGUUAAGUGGAAAAGGAUGUGGGAUUUCUAAGACAACUAGGAUGUUGGCUUA
rnacentral:rRNA from 1 species